AAUGCUUGGGAAUCUGGCUUAUGGAGGGGGAUAACUGUGGGAAACUGCAGCUAAUACCGCGUAAUCUCUGAGGAGUAAAGGGUGGGACCUCUUGGCCACCUGCCAUAAGAUGAGCCCAAGUGGGAUUAGGUAGUUGGUGGGGUAAAGGCCUACCAAGCCUGCGAUCUCUAGCUGGUCUGAGAGGAUGACCAGCCACACUGGAACUGAGACACGGUCCAGACUCCUACGGGAGGCAGCAGUGGGGAAUAUUGCGCAAUGGGGGGAACCCUGACGCAGCCAUGCCGCGUGAAUGAAGAAGGCCUUCGGGUUGUAAAGUUCUUUCGGUAAUGAGGAAGGGAUGUUAUUAAAUAGAUGGCAUCAUUGACGUUAAUUACAGAAGAAGCACCGGCUAACUCCGUGCCAGCAGCCGCGGUAAUACGGAGGGUGCGAGCGUUAAUCGGAAUAACUGGGCGUAAAGGGCACGCAGGCGGACUUUUAAGUGAGAUGUGAAAUCCCCGAGCUUAACUUGGGAAUUGCAUUUCAGACUGGGAGUCUAGAGUACUUUAGGGAGGGGUAGAAUUCCACGUGUAGCGGUGAAAUGC
rnacentral:rRNA from 1 species